UACGUAGGGUGCAAGCGUUGUCCGGAAUUAUUGGGCGUAAAGAGCUCGUAGGCGGUCUGUCGCGUCGGCUGUGAAAACCCGGAGCUCAACUCCGGGCCUGCAGUCGAUACGGGCGGACUCGAGUUCGGCAGGGGAGACUGGAAUUCCUGGUGUAGCGGUGAAAUGCGCAGAUAUCAGGAGGAACACCGUGCGAAGGCGGCUCUGGGCGUAACUGACUCGCUGGAGGAGCGGAAGACGUGGGGAGCAAACAGG
rnacentral:rRNA from 1 species